CCUACGGGCGGCAGCAGUAGGGAAUAUUGCUCAAUGGGGGAAACCCUGAAGCAGCAACGCCGCGUGGAGGAUGAAGGUUUUAUGAUUGUAAACUCCUUUUGUUAGAGAAGUUUAUGACGGUAUCUAACGAAUAAGCACCGGCUAACUCCGUGCCAGCAGGCGCGGGAAUACGGAGGGUGCAAGCGUUAUUCGGAAUCACUGGGCGUAAAGAGUGCGUAGGCGGGGUAAUAGGUCAGAUGUGAAAUCCUGUGGCUUAACUACAGAACUGCAUUUGAAACUGUUACUCUGGAGUGUGGGAGAGGUAGGUGGAAUUCUUGGUGUAGGGGUAAAAUCCGUAGAGAUCAAGAGGAAUACUCAUUGCGAAGGCGACCUGCUGGAACAUUAUUGACGCUGAUGCACGAAAGCGUGGGGAGCAAACAGGAUUAGAUACCCUGGUAGUC
rnacentral:rRNA from 1 species